rnacentral:tRNA from 2 species
CGGGGCGUGGCGCAGUUUGGCUAGCGCGCUUGCUUGGGGUGCAAGAGGCCGGGAGUUCAAGUCUCCCCGCUCCGACCA